CCUACGGGAGGCAGCAGUGGGGAAUAUUGCACAAUGGGGGAAACCCUGAUGCAGCGACGCCGCGUGAAUGAAGACGUCUCUCGGUACUGUAAGCUCUAUCAGCAGGGAAGUUAAUGGCGGUACCUGACCAACAUUCCACGUCUCACUACGUUCCGGCAGCCGUGGUAAUACGGAGGGGGCCAGCGUUAUCCGGAUUUACUGAGUGUAAAGGGAGCGUAUACGGCAGGAUAAGUCUGGUGUGAAAUCCCGGGGCUUAACCCCGGAAGUGCAGUGGAAACUGUGAGGCUUGAGUGCAGGAGGGGUAGGCGGAAUGCGUAGUGUAGCGGUGAAAUGCGUAGAUAUUAGGAGGAACUCCGAUGGCGAAGGCAGCUUACUGGACUGUAACUGACGUUGAGGCUCGAAAGUGUGGGGAGCAAACAGGAUUAGAUACCCUUGUAGUC
rnacentral:rRNA from 1 species